rnacentral:rRNA from 1 species
GACGAACGCUGGCGGCGUGCUUAACACAUGCAAGUCGAACGGAAAGGCCCUGCUUUUGUGGGGUGCUCGAGUGGCGAACGGGUGAGUAACACGUGAGUAACCUGCCCUUGACUUUGGGAUAACUUCAGGAAACUGGGGCUAAUACCGGAUAGGAGCUCCUGCUGCAUGGUGGGGGUUGGAAAGUUUCGGCGGUUGGGGAUGGACUCGCGGCUUAUCAGCUUGUUGGUGGGGUAGUGGCUUACCAAGGCUUUGACGGGUAGCCGGCCUGAGAGGGUGACCGGCCACAUUGGGACUGAGAUACGGCCCAGACUCCUACGGGAGGCAGCAGUGGGGAAUAUUGCACAAUGGGCGGAAGCCUGAUGCAGCAACGCCGCGUGCGGGAUGACGGCCUUCGGGUGGUAAACCGCUUUCGCCUGUGACGAAGCGUGAGUGACGGUAAUGGGUAAAGAAACACCGGCGAACUACGU